CAACCAAAGUGCUGUUUUGAUCCAGACAUUAAAAAUGCAGAAUUAUAUUUUCUUUAUAUUUUCCUCCAUUCCAUAAAAAGUCAGUGGUAUCAUUAAAGUUUGUAUAAUGUAUAAUAGUAUUAAUCCAAAUUAUUUUUCUUCUGACUUUGUGUCCCUUCUUGCCUUCUGUGUGUUGAGAGCAGAGAAAUCAUUUCCAUAGAGAGGAGGCUUUGCAUCAUCAGCUGAUCCUCCAGAGAACUGAGAAGGUUUAUAGUCCUGUGAGUUCAACACUGCAGGACUCACAUCUGUCAGUCAACACAGCAGAAAGCACAACCACCAUGACUCUCAUCACCAUCCUCAUCUGGACGCUGACCUGCUGCUGUUUUACAGGAUGCAGCGGUCAGGUGACUGUGACUCAACCUCCAGUAGUGACAUUUACUCCUGGAUCCACUGUCACUCUGACCUGUAGGACCAGCCAAGCUGUUUACAGAUCUUCUAAUGGUGAUGCCAUGUACUGGUAUCAACAUAAAUCUGGACAGGCUUCAAAGCUCCUAAUAAAAUAUGCAAAAACGCUUGAGUCAGGAACACCAUCUCGAUUUAAUGGCAGUGGAAGCAGCUCUGACUUCUCUAUGACCAUCAGUGGAGUUCAGGCUGAAGAUGCAGCAGUUUACUACUGUCAGAGUUUCCACAGCGGUGGGGUGUUCACACAGUGAUUUAUAGUCGUACAA